UAGCCUUGACAUUGAUAGAAUAAUUCAGAGAUGAGUUAGUGCCCUUCGGGGAGCUUGAAAACAGGUGCUGCACGGCUGUCGUCAGCUCGUGUCGUGAGAUGUUGGGUUAAGUCCCGCAACGAGCGCAACCCUCGUCCUUAGUUGCCAGCAGGUUAAGCUGGGCACUCUAAGGAGACUGCCUUCGCAAGGAGGAGGAAGGUGAGGACGACGUCAAGUCAUCAUGGCCCUUAUGGCUAGGGCUACACACGUGCUACAAUGGGGCGUACAGAGUGUUGCGAUACCGUGAGGUGGAGCUAAUCACUUAAAGCGUCUCUCAGUCCGGAUUGUUCUCUGCAACUCGAGAGCAUGAAGC
rnacentral:rRNA from 1 species